GUCUUCUUGAUAAAAUAGGAAGUCUGACCUGCCCAGUGAAAAUAUUUUAACGGCCGCGGUAUAUUGACCGUGCAAAGGUAGCAUAAUCAUUAGUCUUUUAAUAGAGGGCUGGAAUGAAGGGUUUAACGAAGUACUUACUGUCUCAUUUAAUUUGAUAUUAAAAUUUACUUUUUCAGUCAAAAAGCUGAAAUACUAUUGGAAGACGAGAAGACCCUAUAGAGCUUUAUAUUUAGUUAUUUAAUAAAUUUUUGAUAUAAUUAUUAUUUAUUAUUUAAUAAAAUAUUUUGUUGGGGUGACAAAAAUAUAUAAUUAACUUUUUUAUUUAUAUAACAUUGAUAUAUGAAAAAUAGAUCCAGUUUUACUGAUUGUUAGAAUAAGUUACCUUAGGGAUAACAGCGUAAUCUUCCUUCAGAGUUCAUAUUCACAGGGAGGCUUGCGACCUCGAUGUUGGAUUAAGAUUAUAAUUAGGUGUAGCCGCUUAAAAAAUAGGUCUGUUCGACCUUUAAAUUCUU
rnacentral:rRNA from 1 species